rnacentral:rRNA from 1 species
GUAGUUAGCCGGGGCUUCCUUCUUGGCUACCAUCAUUAUUUUCACCAAGGAUAGAAGUUUACGAUCCGAAAACCUUCUUCCCUCACGCGGCGUUGCUGGGUCAGGCUUGCGCCCAUUGCCCAAUAUUCCCCACUGCUGCCUCCCGUAGGAGUCUGGACCGUGUCUCAGUUCCAGUGUGGCCGAUCAGCCUCUCAGCUCGGCUACCCAUCGUCGGCUUGGUGGGCUGUUAUCUCACCAACUACCUAAUGGGACGCGAACCCCUCUUAUAGCGAUAAAUCUUUGACCCCUUCCUGAUGUCAGGUUGUGGUCUCAUGCGGUAUUAGCACUUGUUUCCAACUGUUAUCCCCCACUAUAAGGCAGGUUGUUCACGCGUUACUCACCCGUUCGCCACUCAAAUUAUAAAUUCCAUCCGAAAACUUCCUUUAUAAUCUCCGUUCGACUUGCAUGUGUUAGGCACGCCGCCAGCGUUCGUCCUGAGCCANAAUCAAACUCUGA